AACGAACGCUGGCGGCAUGCCUAACACAUGCAAGUCGAACGAGAUCUUCGGGUCUAGUGGCGCACGGGUGCGUAACGCGUGGGAAUCUGCCCUUUGGUUCGGAAUAACAGUUGGAAACGACUGCUAAUACCGGAUGAUGACGAAAGUCCAAAGAUUUAUCGCCAGAGGAUGAGCCCGCGUAGGAUUAGCUAGUUGGUGUGGUAAAGGCGCACCAAGGCGACGAUCCUUAGCUGGUCUGAGAGGAUGAUCAGCCACACUGGGACUGAGACACGGCCCAGACUCCUACGGGAGGCAGCAGUGGGGAAUAUUGGACAAUGGGCGAAAGCCUGAUCCAGCAAUGCCGCGUGAGUGAUGAAGGCCUUAGGGUUGUAAAGCUCUUUUACCCGGGAUGAUAAUGACAGUACCGGGAGAAUAAGCUCCGGCUAACUCCGUGCCAGCCGCCGGUAA
rnacentral:rRNA from 1 species